UACGAAGGGUGCAAGCGUUACUCGGAAUUACUGGGCGUAAAGCGUGCGUAGGUGGUGAGUUAAGUCUGUCGUGAAAGCCCCGGGCUCAACCUGGGAAUGGCGAUGGAUACUGGCUCGCUAGAGUGCGGUAGAGGAGAGUGGAAUUCCCGGUGUAGCAGUGAAAUGCGUAGAGAUCGGGAGGAACAUCAGUUGCGAAGGCGGCUCUCUGGACCAGCACUGGACACUGAGGCACGAAAGCGUGGGGAGCAAACAGG
rnacentral:rRNA from 1 species